AUAUAAUAAUGCUGUCGUUUCUAAGAAAACUCUGCAGCAGCAGGCUCAGACAGCUACGAAGUAGAGCACAUGCAUGGAUUUGUCAUCCUGCCUUACUCUUAAACAACAUUAGCUUCUUUGUCAAUUGUGAGAAAGUGAGGGAAAACCCCUUGGAGGUGUGCCACACAUUUAUUUGUUCCUGAGCUCUUAUAGCAAUGUUGGCUACAACACAAUCCUUUUUUUAGAAAAGAAAGGUGAUCAUCUGUGCAACUUGUUCUGAAAAGUCAACAGACGUGGCAAGAAAAUGCAUUUCUCAAACACAUGUUGACUUGUGACAUCCAAGGACAGGAUGCUUGUGACCGCACAUAUCCGAUGUUCAUGGCAGAUCAUGAGUGCUGCUGCCUGUCCCUUUCAGCUCUGCUUCUGGUAUGAAUAAGUCAUCCAGCAUGGGAGCAUGCAUGGGCUGGAGGUGCUCUGCUACUCCAACAUGGAAUGUUGCAAGCUCCAGCAAUUAGGUCAGCAGAAACAUCCUUUUGUUCUUCUAAAUCAAUGUUAGCAAUGUUUCAAAUUGCCUUCAGAUAAUCCCAUGCUGCCCCAUCACAGCUGCCUUGCUGUUUGCGUUGAUGUUGUUGCUACUCAUGGAGUGUGAGAAUGAGGACAAGGAAUAGUGCUGCCGUAAGCUGUGAUGGCAAAACACAUUUCCCUUUAGAAACAAAUGUCGCAAGUGGUGGAUGAAAUCUAGCAGAGUGACGCACUUCCACAUACAUUAGCACAUACUUUGCCAAAAUAGAACCACUCUGUUUUUUAAGGAGAAUCUCUGCAAGGAUAGGGGGAGAAAUACUCCUCCCUCCUUCCUUUGCGGUGUGUUAAGAAGGCCCCAGAUUUCCCCACUCUCCCAUGUGUUUCUAGAAAUUCAUCUUCUAUGAAAGCUGCAGGAAGCGCUGACUGUCUACUUCCAGUGUGCCUGCCCAAAGGGAGACCUCUCUGCUGGAUCCCAACAAGAGGAGAUGACAAACAAGACAAGCGCAUUUCGUAGCACCCAUGACUCAGAUGGAGCAGAUCAGCUCUUCAGCUAUUGCUUCAUUAACCAAGGCUUGUUUGCUACAGACAUCACCAUCAAGAGUUUCCAGAGAUGCCACUGAAAGGUGUCCAUAUGUGUGCGGUGGGGAACCUGGCCAGCUCGCAGAGCCGCCUCUCCUCCAAGAACUGCAUACUGAGGCAAAUUCCCAGCUUAUUAAAAAAUAGUUUUGUUAUUUUGCCAUCUUGUUUGUUCUGUAGUUCCACUGUGCUUUUACCCUUUUACCCUUCUCUCCUUCUUAUUUUGCUUCUGUCUUUU
rnacentral:lncRNA from 7 species